GGGUGCCCCGACGGGGUUAAAAGGGAAGUCAGUGCAAGUCUGACGCGGUCCCGCCACUGUGAGUGGGGAGCCGGCCCGCACGAUGCCACUGGGACGCUGUCCCGGGAAGGCGCGGGAACAGGCAGUGAUCCACGAGCCAGGAAACCUGCCCGUUUUCC
rnacentral:ncRNA from 1 species